rnacentral:rRNA from 1 species
ACGGGAGGCAGCAGUGGGGAAUAUUGCACAAUGGGGGAAACCCUGAUGCAGCGACGCCGCGUGAGUGAUGAAGUAUUUCGGUAUGUAAAGCUCUAUCAGCAGGGAAGAAAAUGACGGUACCUGACUAAGAAGCACCGGCUAAAUACGUGCCAGCAGCCGCGGUAAUACGUAUGGUGCAAGCGUUAUCCGGAUUUACUGGGUGUAAAGGGAGCGUAGACGGCAUAGCAAGCCAGAUGUGAAAGGUGGGGGCUCAACCCCCAAGCUGCAUUUGGAACUGUUAAGCUAGAGUAUCGGAGAGGUAAGUGGAAUUCCUAGUGUAGCGGUGAAAUGCGUAGAUAUUAGGAGGAACACCAGUGGCGAAGGCGGCUUACUGGACGAUAACUGACGUUGAGGCUCGAAAGCGUGGGGAGCAAACAGGAUUAGAUACCCUGGUA